rnacentral:lncRNA from 1 species
GAGAGAUCUGGACCAGUGAAUAUAAAUGCUAACCCUCGGAUAUGGCGUUCUGAAUGUCGGCGCACUUCGCGACGACGUUAUGGUCGUUGAUGCCUUCCUCUUCCUCUAUCAAGUGAUCGUUGUAUCCAUUCUUGCCAUUUUUGCUUCCCAGAGACAACUCGGCGUGUUCCGGUGAGACCUUCACACGCGAAACAAGGAACCACUGCACGAGCGAAAACACUAUACCAAUAACUGCGCACACCGGGAUCGCGAUCUCCGUCCCCAGAUCUGACAGCAGCGCCGCCCCCAUUCUCGCCGGAACCCUCGCCGAAAAUUUGUUAAAUAGAAAUGAAAAAAAUAAAAGACAAUGGAAGUGAGUCAAAAAUUUGGAGAGAAACAGUCACGGCUAUAUGGAGGGUUUGAAAAGUGAGAUUUGAGCGAACAUUUAUAAUACUUGUAGGAGUGAUUUCAGAUUCCCGGAAAUAGGUGGAGUUCUACAGUGUUAUAGGACUACGGAAGAUCAAAUGCACCUGCAGUGUUUUGAAAAAUACUUAAAAAAAUUUGCUGUUUGUACAUUCAGACUGGACAACUCGGAUGAUAACCCCUCCCGAGAGCAGGGAUUCGCACUUGAUAAAAUAACCGCACAACCCCCUCUUGUGAGAGGGUUGCCAUCUGGGCUGUCAAGCCCUGGAUGUACAAACAACAAAAUCGAACUUAUUGUAUAUUACUAUUUAUAUAAUCAUUUACAAAAUGAUAAGAUAUCAAGAAGAAAGUGGGGAAAAAUAUUUAUUUGGU